AACGUAUCGCACUGAGACGCGACACAACUACCACAGUGGUCCAUGUGAGAGGUGGUUAUGUGUAACCACGAAGGACCGCAAGAACGCGCCAUACGUGAACACCUAAGCUGUGUAUUAAACUGCACAUUUACGAAUGAAUGGGAAAUCCUUGGACAUGACAACGACAAGACUGUGAUUCUGGACAAAUACAAAGGACUGUGGAUGGAGUGCUGUGGACAGUUCGUCUCACGUGCGCUGCACAAGUUACAGUUCUCUUCUUCACCAGACCUUUGAAAUCCGGGUGGGCCGAGCAAUCAUGAUCGCCAGCAUCGUCUUUUCAAGCCUCGCCGCGCUGGUGGCCAUUUCUGGUCUCAGAUGUACAAGAUGUUUAGAAGAGAACGAGAAGUCGAAGGAUAGAGCUGCCUUCUUAGGAGGAAUCCUUUCUGUGUGCGGUGGUCUUCUUGCUUUGGGCAUAACCAGCUGGUUUAUAUAUGGAAUUGUUGAAGAUUUCUUUCAGAAUGACACAGAGACGGAGAGGUAGG
rnacentral:lncRNA from 1 species